rnacentral:rRNA from 1 species
UGCUGGCCCUCUAGGGGGCAUGUGCACACCCGCCAUCCUCAUCUCUCCACCUGUGCACCUCUUGUAGAUCUGGAUAGACUUUCCGAGGCAACUCGGUCGGGAAGAUUGCUGCACUCUGUGAGCCAGCUUUCUUUGCAUGUCCAGGUCUAUGUUUUUCAUAUACCCCUAUAGAAUGUAACAGAAUGUAUCAUCGGGCUUUGUGCCUAUAAACCUAAUACAACUUUCAGCAACGGAUCUCUUGGCUCUCGCAUCGAUGAAGAACGCAGCGAAAUGCGAUAAGUAAUGUGAAUUGCAGAAUUCAGUGAAUCAUCGAAUCUUUGAACGCACCUUGCGCUCCUUGGUAUUCCGAGGAGCAUGCCUGUUUGAGUGUCAUUAAAUUCUCAACCUUAUUAGCUUUUGUUAAUAAUGGAUUGGAUGUGGGGGUUUCUUUUGCUGGUUUCAUCACAGAGAUCAGCUCCCCUUAAAUGCAUUAGCUGGUGCCCCGCGUGGACCAUCUAUUGGUGUGAUAAUUAUCUACGCCGUGGAUGUCUGCAAUUAUAGGGUUUUGCACUGCUUCUAACCGUCUGUUCAUUCGGACAAUAUUGACAAUUUGACCUCAAAUCAGGUAGGACUACCCGCUGAACUUAAGCAUAUCAAUAAGCGGAGGAAAAGAAACUAACAAGGAUUCCCCUAGUAACUGCGAGUGAAGCGGGAAAAGCUCAAAUUAAAAUCUGGCGUCUCCGGCGUCC